rnacentral:rRNA from 1 species
CCUACGGGAGGCAGCAGUGAGGAAUAUUGGUCAAUGGGCGCGAGCCUGAACCAGCCAAGCAGCGUGAAGGAUGACUGUCCUACGGGUUGUAAACUUCUUUUAUAAAGGAAUAAAGUGAGGCACGUGUGCCUUUCUGUAUGUACUUUACGAAUAAGGAUCGGCUAACUCCGUGCCAGCAGCCGCGGUAAUACGGAGGAUCCGAGCGUUAUCCGGAUUUAUUGGGUUUAAAGGGAGCGUAGACGGGUUGUUAAGUCAGUUGUGAAAGUCUGGGGCUCAACCGUAAAAUUGCAAUUGAUACUGGCAGCCUUGAGAACAGUUGAGGUAGGCGGAAUUCGUGGUGUAGCGGUGAAAUGCUUAGAUAUCACGAAGAACUCCGAUUGCGAAGGCAGCUUACUAACCUACCACUGACGUUGAUGCUCGAAAGUGUGGGUAUCAAACAGGAUUAGAUACCCGAGUAGUC